GACAGAGGGGGCAAGCGUUGCUCGGAAUUACUGGGCGUAAAGGGCGCGUAGGCGGGAUGGCAAGUCGGUCGUGAAAUCCCUCGGCUCAACCGAGGAACGUCGAUCGAUACUGCUGUUCUUGAGGAUUGCAGAGGAGACUGGAAUUCCCGGUGUAGCGGUGAAAUGCGUAGAGAUCGGGAAGAACAUCGGUGGCGAAGGCGGUCUGCUGGGCCGUUGCUGACGCUGAGGCGCGACAGCGUGGGGAGCAAACAGG
rnacentral:rRNA from 1 species